AAACCAAUGGUGGUCCAGUUGUCUUUACAAAGGCAUAGAUGGGUAGCUAAGUAUGGAAAGGAUAACCGCUGAAAGCAUCUAAGCGGGAAGCCAACCUCAAGAUAAGAUAUCCCAUUCUUGUGUAGCAAUACAUGAGAGCAUAAGACCCCUUGAAGACUACAAGGUAGAUAGGUUAGAAGUGUAAGUACAGUAAUGUAUUGAGCUGACUAAUACUAAUAGGUCGAGAGUCUUAGCCAC
rnacentral:rRNA from 1 species